CAACUACAUCUUAUGGAGUUAUGAAAAUUUUGGAAGAUCUUCUAAUUGACAAUCAUAUUGUUUUAGAAGUUUAUAUCCUAUAUAUGGGUAAUAGAUAACAUCUAACGAACUAAAUCUUAUUCGAGUUCGUUUUUCUCCUAAUGGAGAAAUUCAUUAUCUCAUGAUGCUCCUUUCCUUGAUAUCUUUCAAGGAAACUCAUCUAAAGUGUUACUUUUCCUUGGAUCAAAUCUAAGGAGGUAAAUACUUUAGACGUCUUACUCAUCAACUAACAUUACUUGAAUUCUUUGAAACCUUUUGCAAAGUAUUCGGACUUGUGUUUAUUCAAAAUAAACUAUAGUCCAACCGAGAGUGAUCUUCGGUGAAUGUCAUAUAACAUGAGUAGUAUUAUGUUGUGGACAAGUGCCACUAACAUCUAAGUGAAUUAACCUCAACAACUUUGUGAUUCUUUCUUCUUUCAAAAAGAAUAAAGAUUCGAACAUUUCGCCUCUAUACAAUUUUAACAAGAAGGUAUUGGAUCCGGAUCUAACGAUCCAAAGCAUCCUUGUUUCACCAACUCGUAACUUAUGUUUUAGAGGUAUCACAAUUUAGCUGGGAUUAGUCACUACCUUGCAACCUUUUGGGUUUUAAGCAUCAUUAUAUUCUAAACAGUUAACACUACCAUAUCAUCUCUACUAUAGAGACAAUCAAUUAGAUUACUAUAAUCCAAUUUCUUUGGUAGUUCAUAUGAGGAAGUAAGUACUAUCUGCUUUCGCAGAGAUCUAUAUCUUAUUCACGUUCCGUAUGUGAAGCACCUUUUCUUCUCUCAUAUAUCUUCUACUUCUUAUUAGUCACACUUUUACAACCAUUUGUAAAAUAUAGUUACUAAUACGGAAUCAUACAUUCAAGUAGAAGAACCAACUGUUUUGAACUUUUCAAGAACAUUUUACAACACCUUCGAAAGGUGUGUUCUUGACACUUGCAAGACAUUUCUUGCAAAUACCCCUUCCAAUGUCCAUCCUUUCAUAAAGAAAAUUUGUUCCCUUGGAGUUAUUUAUCUUCUUUAUUUGAGUUUCACCUUUGACUACAUUAGUCAUGGUCCCUAAACUCCCACUAUCUCUCUUGAAACCUUUUUCAAUUGUGUUAUACACAUCAAACAAUUUGGAGAGUAUGUGGUUAUUGUUCACUACAUAGUUUACCAUAAACUUAGUGAACCAUUAGGAUAGGGGAAACAAAGGUGAAGUCCUUGCCUAGUUUCCGUCUCGUUAAGUGGUUUAACACUUCAACACUCAAUGAUUCAAAAUCAUCAUAAGUCCAUGUUAAUGGACUAUUUUUGUCAACCAACCAUUAUGUUCUAAACAUAAUUACAAACUUUCAAGAGUUGUACAAGGCAACUCUCAUUUCUUCAUACAACAAUUUGCAAGUGAAGAAUCAUGGCACAUUAAGUGUCCAUGCCUUUGUGCUUUCUUCUCAAGUUCUUUGUUCAUUUAACAAAGAAACAAGCACUAAGUGUUUGCAUUGACUAAGGGUUGUUCAAAGCAACUCCUAUUUCUUCAUACAACAAUUUGUAAUUGAAGAAUUAUGACAUUAAAAGUGUUGUCCUCUCUAUGAUAGACCUU
rnacentral:lncRNA from 1 species